rnacentral:rRNA from 1 species
GUGGGGAAUAUUGGACAAUGGGCGAAAGCCUGAUCCAGCCAUGGCGCGUGUGUGAAGAAGGUCUUCGGAUUGUAAAGCACUUUAAGUUGGGAGGAAGGGCAGUAAGUUAAUACCUUGCUGUUUUGACGUUACCGACAGAAUAAGCACCGGCUAACUUCGUGCCAGCAGCCGCGGUAAUACGAAGGGUGCAAGCGUUAAUCGGAAUUACUGGGCGUAAAGCGCGCGUAGGUGGUUCAGCAAGUUGAAGGUGAAAUCCCCGGGCUCAACCUGGGAACUGCCUCCAAAACUACUGAGCUAGAGUACGGUAGAGGGUAGUGGAAUUUCCUGUGUAGCGGUGAAAUGCGUAGAUAUAGGAAGGAACACCAGUGGCGAAGGCGACUACCUGGACUGAUACUGACACUGAGGUGCGAAAGCGUGGGGAGCAAACAGGAUUAGAAACCCGGGUAGUCC